CAGGCUUGUCCCCUUGCUAGGGCUCCCUCUAGUGGUGAACAGCGGUACUGCACAUGUGCGGUUUAUGCACCAGGUGUCAGUUGACCGUUAAUAUGCUAAUGAGGUGAUUCAUUCUCCGCCAAUCCCUGGAGGACAAGUAGUGGGGUGAUCCAAGCCCCACCAAUCCCUGAGAGAUAAUUAGCAUACUGUUGUCUAUAUAAACCGAGCGAUUUUGCUGCUCGGGGUCCCUGUUCAAGAGAGCUGUAACACUAAGAAGAGCUGUAACACUAAGAAGAGCUGUAACACAGUAAAGGCUUGUUCGCAGAAGAAUCCUGUUGCCAGGGGUCGUUCUUGCUGGCGGGACAUUGGGUGUGCGACAAGUGGUGCCGAAACCCAGGAACCAACAUCGCCGGUGCCGAAGGGACCCAUCAGUGUGCUGAAGAGGAUUCAGAACUGGGAGAAGGUAAAUUGAAAGACCUCCUCAACAUCUUGAGUCAGACCGGUGUUCUAUAGAACAAUGUCUAAGAAAACUGUAGAGAAGAUUUAAACUCCCUCUUGUCGUCCCUGGAGAUACAACAUUCUUGUAUGCACACAGGUCAUACACUGGGCCAAAGAGAUUACAACAUGGAGGAAAUAAAAUGGAGGAAGCAAACAUUUUGUAACAUAGAAGAUCAGCAUCCUUUUCAUCAGGAAAGGAUGGAGAAGUGGAACAAGAAGUUGGAUUCGAUUUUCUUUUUUUCCAUGAGAAGUCAAGUUUCAUUUGUUGAGACUCCCCUUGAGGCUUUGGACCAAGGAAACAGAAAGGAAGCAAAAAGAAAAAAAAAAAGAAUGGUGAUAGUAGAGGAGGACACAACAUGUGUUGGAAUGUCUAGGGUGUGAGCAUUUUUAAGGAUAUCCAGACAUGCAGGUGUCUGACCAAGAAGGAAACUGGACUGGAAACACCCUAUAGAGUCUGAAGGAUAUCCUGCCCUGUUGUCUUCACAUAGAACAAAAAAUAAGACAGACAGAAUGCCAUCUUACUUUUGUUUUUUAAUUAUGUUAUUAUGUGCAUGUGUGGGUAUACAGGGGCACACAUACAUGUAAGGCACACCUGUGGAGGUAAGAGGAGAGCCUGAGGAAGGUUACUCUCUCCUUCUACCACAUGGGUCCCAGGAAUAAAACUCAAGUCAUCAGCUUUAAUAAUAGGAGCCUUUACCCACCCAGCCAUCUUGCUAGCCCAUCUUCUGCUAAUCUUUAACAGGCAUCCCUGUGCAUUUGCCUUCCUGAUUCAGUGAGUGAGACUAUCUGGAUCAACCUGCUGCCAUAUCUGCUACCACUUCGUGCAUGGUAUUUUUUUUACCACCUCCACAACUACAGGCUCUCUUUUUCAUGGAAGCGAUUGAAAUUGGUAGUGCAUAGACCAAGUCUGGCACACAGAUGGGUUUUUGCUGGGUUUGGUUUAUGCUUUCCCCCAUGUGAACCAAUGAAAAUCAGUAUGCCUCCCAUAAAAUCCAAGCUUCUGGCUCCUUUUGAAGAACUGAAACAUCUCACCACCCUGUCCUCAAUAGUCAACAUGGUCCAAGCAGCUGGCUUUGAGGAGACUGAGCAUUUCAAUCCUGGAUAAGUUCCAUUAGUUACAUAAGAACUGCAGAUGUACUAGAUGCAGACCAGCCUCAUCCGUGGCAACCACCUGCCUCCCUUUAUGCAGGCAGGAACUACCCGUGUGAGGGCACAUUGAGACUGCAUGUAGAGAUGUCCUGCGGUGAAGCCCUUGUCCCAGCUGACAUACAUGCGCUUCUAAAUGUACUCAGCUGCAGAUGCUCUGGCAAUCAUCUCCCUGAUGUUCUCCCAGACCUCAGUCCAGCAAGAAUAUCAUCUUUCCUCUUUCCCCAGCAUUUGUUUCUUGCUUGAGUCUCUGCUCUCCACAAGGAAAACAAUGUUUACCGUCUUAAAAGGAAAACAGAGCACUGGCACCGUGUUCCUUUUCUCUCUACAGCACAAACAUUCCUUGAUGAAUAAUUGCACACUGCUCUCCCCAACUCACUAGCAAGCCACAUUUCAAACCACUGUAAUCUGGGCCCGGCAGACCUUGGAAACUACUUCCACUAAAGUCACCAAUGGACUCUCACUUUCCCAACUCACAGGCAGCUUUUAUUCCUAUGCUAAACCAUCUGCGUCAUCUGGCAUGGAGGACGGCUGUCUUCUAUUUUGAAAUUCUUUCCUAUAUUCUAAGGCAGGACUGUGUUUAUUCACAUCUUGCAACUCUCUUUUCCAAUAUCAUUGAAACGUUAAAACAUUUUCUAAAUAACAGUCUAACAAAUGCUUUCUAGAUGUAAACUCUGUACCUCUGAUUCCUUCAAUAUUGUGUUAUAAAACCCAAUAAA